UGGACCCACGGGGGCGGCGCGCGAACCCCAGGGCCUGAGGGGGCCCCGCCUCCCGGCCGGCGGGGCGCUGACGGAGGGGGGGUAGCGCACCCCGACUCCCCUGAUCACAUGGGCUGCGGGGGGGGGGGCCAGGAAGAUCGGGAGAGGGGGAGGUGCGCAGAGCCGCCCGCCGCUCCUCACCCGGGCCGGGAGAAGUCGCCCCCCGCACCCCCCCACGAGUCCGUCCUCUCCAUUCAAGUUCGCCGGGCCUUGCCGCCGGGAUCGGGGAUGGCCCCCAGCUGCCCGCCCAGCUCUGCGUCCUGUUUCCAGCCACCGCGCAGAAAUUUAGGUCAAGGACGUCGGGAGCAAACCCACACCCUGGAGCUCUUCGGGAGGCCCCCGAGACCCCCCCACCCCAGGAUCGGGAUGGAGGGGGGGCUUCAGGAUGGCGGAGAACCCCCAGCACAAACAUCAGCCACAAGUUUUAUUUUGCCUUCGCGCUGCAAGUUCGGCGCUCGCUCCACACCGGCACGUCCUGCGCGGCUCCCCGCCCUUCCCCGCAGAGGAUUAGGAGACAAUGGAAUACACUCAACACCAAACUGUGUAUCAAAUCCAUUGUGGGUCCUAGAAACGUGGAACUUUUGGAAAAUCUCAACAGCAGCCAAAGCCAUAGGAUUUUUUGUAUCCAUGUUGGUGAGUCAAACUGGCUGCAAUUUACCCUUUCAUGGUACCUUCAUUUGGUUCCACAGGCCUCCUAAAGUGAACUGCCAUGAAACUUACUACUAUUCAACCAGAGAACUAAAG
rnacentral:lncRNA from 1 species